GCGUGAGUGAAGAAGGCCUUAGGGUUGUAAAACUCUUUCAGCAGGGAAGAUAAUGACGGUACCUGCAGAAGAAGCUCCGGCUAACUCCGUGCCAGCAGCCGCGGUAAUACGGAGGGAGCUAGCGUUGUUCGGAAUUACUGGGCGUAAAGCGCGCGUAGGCGGCUUGCCAAGUUGGGGGUGAAAGCCCGGGGCUCAACCUCGGAACCGCCCUCAAAACUGGCAGGCUAGAAUCUUGGAGAGGUGAGUGGAAUUCCUAGUGUAGAGGUGAAAUUCGU
rnacentral:rRNA from 1 species